UAAUUUGUUUUAAUUCAUGGAUAGGUUUAUUGCGAGUGUCAUGGAAAGCUGGAACUUUUCAGUACACAACAUGCAAACUGAGAAUGAACUGUGUGUGUGAACAAAAACGCAAGGCGGCUAUGGUAAGUUGCGUCAAGAUAUCCUUGGGACCCCCCCCCCCCCCUUGGACACGCAAUACAAUUCGUGUUUCGCUGAUCUGUUGGCUGGGAUCAGAUCAUCCAUUUGGGGAUUUAGAUAUGUUACCCCAGCCAACAGGCUGCAUGUUUAAUUUUACUCAAUACUAAGCUUUGUUUUAGUGCGAACAUCAACAUGUUUAUCUAAUUGCAGUUGCUGCUUGGGACAAUAAAGUUAAGUCAGCAACCGUCUACCAGACUGCAAGAUUCAUCUCUUCCAAAGGAUGUCGUACAUUUCCAGAUACACUGUGUUUUGUGUGGAUAAGAAAUGCAGAGUGGUACCACCAAUCACCUAAGCCACAAUUCCCCUAACAGACAAUAGGCUCAUGGGGACAGUUCCUGCAAAUUACAGAAAAGCUCUCAAUUGUAGCCCUACGAACAUCAGAUACUGCCGAUGGUGAAGCUUGGGUGCACCAGGCCGGUUUUCCGGCCGUGUGGAAUCAACAUCUCCAGCUGAACUGGGGCCGGGAAUUAUAUAAGACUCCUUAGCAGCAUGAGUGCCAGCCAGUCAUUGCUGUUCUUUGCAUUGCUGAGGAGGACAGUCCUGCCAACAUAACAGUUUGUUCAAUAACAGGAGACAAACAGAAACACAGAGGUGCUAUACAUUCUGAUGGAAAAACAAAAGCAUCUCCCAUCAUUUUGGCGUGGCUCAGAUCAAGAGGAGAAUUUUAAGAAAGGUGAUGGUUGGGCACACACAAGAAGACAUAGAUCACAGGGUCUAGCCAUAUGAGUAGAUAGGAGUGUCACACUCUGCCAAACUUACUUCAUCAGACAGGCAGAAAGCUUCUCAAGAUCCCGCACUGCACACUAAGACAUAGUCUUUGACUACAACAAGGUGAUGAAAGUACAGAGAGGUCCAAUUGAAAUCAAUUCUGUGCUGCGUCAUUUCUUCAUUCUGGAAGUCGAUGGACGUGAUUUAUCAUGGCAUAAAGUGUGCAGUUUGCCGACUAUCAGCAGUCUUGUUCACCAGCUGUGCAACUUGAGCUGGUAGCUUUAUUGCUUGAAGCCACUGCAUAAGAGGGGGAACCUGCAGGCUCAUCAAAAAGUCUCAAAAGUUGAAACUAGGAAAAGAAGUUUAUCAAGAGUGUGAAUCUAUUUUGAAAACAAUCGUUACAAUGAUUUGGUUUCCUUUGAAACUUGAUACAUACUAUGAAUUGAGAUGCUUAAAGAAAAACCGCUAUUCAAAUAUCAGGAAACUGCCUUUUUCAUACUAAAGGGUAAAUGAUGUCGCCAUUUCCUGUAUGUAUUUAAAUAAGAUAUGUCUCCACAAUUAAUAUUUUUAGGGAAUUUUUCUCAACCUAAUGACUGAGAUUAAAUUGUACAGCGUUAUAUGAGCUUAAUAUGUGUUUUCUCAUUCUUUAAUAUUGGUGAAAAAUUGUCAGAAGAUAAUUAGACCAGUAUCCAUUACUGCAAUCAUACAAUCAAAUAUACAGGGACAAGCCCACUGGGCAUAUAAUAUAAUUAAACUCUGUUCAGGGGCACGAGGCAAACAGAGUUACUUUCAAACGUUAAAGCUGCACUCUCACACUUUAGAUGUUGUGACAACCUUUUUCAUUUUAUGUCUUGGAUUGGAACCAUCCAAUUUUUGCGAAAAAUUAAAUCCCAGAUUUUUCUAUAUAAGUUAAAACAUUGAUGUUUUUUAUGCACUUUUCUUAAACCGUUAGUAACAUUAAUUUUCGAACGGAAAUAUGAAAUCUGCGAUCUGAUCUUUUGUCAGCAAUCUUUUAUCAUUGGUUUGCAGAUAAUUACGCAAAAACUUAAUCAUUCCAAGACAAAAAAGUUGUGGAAACGGUAUAUCUGUGAGAGUGCAGCUCUAAAUGUUUAAUUGCUUGAUUCUACUACUGUAUUAGAAAUUACAGGGAUUGGGGUAUAUUUUUAGUGUUUUUAUUGCUUGUUUUUGAUUCAUACAGUCAUACUUUAUUCUUCAGGGCACAACUUACAAAUAGACAAAACUGGAAAAUGGUCAUAUCAAAAGGUCAAAGAUAAUGCAAGUUGAACAAUCAUAUUGUUCAUGGCUUGUAUUUUUGGUAUAUUUUGUUGCAUAUGCUAUAGAAAAGUUGAAAGUUAAAAAUAAAUUCAUAGUUGAAAUGAUGGCUUUGAAUGGUAUUGUCAGAUGAGAAACGGCACUAUUAAGAAAUAGGUAUAAUGGUACUUUAUUUAUUUUAAUCAAUUUUAGAUAUUAUGAAAAUUAUUAUCUUAUUUAGUACAUGAGACCUUUUAAACAGUUAUUGACAAUAUAACAAUGUGUAUAUGAAGCUUUAGAUCAACACUUAAAGCUGCACUCUUACAGAUUGUCAGUUUAGACACAAAAUUGUCUCAAAAUCGGCUGAUUUGGUUAUCAUUCCUUUAAUUCAGUCAUAUUAGAUAAUUCACAAUAGAACCAAUCAAAAAUGUUUGGUAAAACUGCCAAAAAGUUCAUUUACAUUAAAAGUUCAUUUACAUUAAAUUGUUCGUAAUGCUUUUAGUCAUUGUUCGUAAUGCUUUUAGUCAUAAAACAUCAUUUUUUUAACAUAAAUAUGAUGAACUGCAAUCUGAUCUUUUUUCAGCAGUCUUAUAUCACUUAAAAUUGGGUCUAGACAUUUCUGCAAAAAAUACUCCAUUCAUAGACAAACAAUAAAAGAGUACCGGUAGUCAAAACGAUCAAUCGGUGGGAUUGCAGCUUUAAAUACACCUUUUAAGACCGCUGUAAAAUUCCAAUGGUUUGCCUAAAUCUUUAAAGCUAGCAUACUGUUUAAUUGACAACCAUACUUAUUGUUUAAAAGUGUCAUGAUAUCUUUGUACAAUGUUUUUAUAUAAUUCAUUAAAGAAGUCAAAACAAAUUUGUUUAUCUUGUAAUUUGUUAUCUAUUAUUUAAUUGACUCA